GGAAAGUUAAUCAUAAUUGGUAUUGAGGCGGGUUGCUAACUCGUUGUACCUCAUGGGUAUUAUAGGUUCGAGUCCUAUACUUUCCG
rnacentral:tRNA from 1 species